GCAUAUUGUAGCAAGUCCUCGAUGAGAGAUACAGAGAGUUACUCGACGCUUUCAAAUUCUUGUUCGACUCGAGCUUUAUAACAUAUGCAUUUAAAGAAAUAGCCUUGAUGUUGACCAAGUCAUCCUUGAAUCGUUAAACCCUGUACCGUGAAGAGCAUCGAGCUAUGAAAUGUACACUUUUGUAACUUCCAAGACGCGGAUGAUUCCUAUUCCUACGAUAAUGGAUAUACUUGAACAUACGACGUUAUUAACUGGUGAUGGUCUACGUAGAGAUCCCCCUGCGUCAUAGAUGAGCUAAUUUAUAGAUCACUAAUCAUUAGUUAUUACUCAUAAAAAUGUUAUCCGAAUUGUAUCACACAGGACAUUCGAAUGACAAAAGUUCUCGAAUACUCGAGUUUGAUUCCAGACGAUCCGUAGAAUCAGAAAAUGUUAUUUUUGGCUAACGUUGCGACAGCCUGGAAGGGACCACGUUAAUCUCGCCUGGACUGUUGAUGGUUUCUUGUUACUAACCACGGCCUAACAUCGACGGGGCAACGCUGGCGCCGUAGUUACACUCUCGCUUUCGAAAUAAUAAUUAUUUAAUAUCCAGAAGCCCAGGGUGAAAUGCGAGCGGAGUGGUACCGGUUUUCGGGCGUCCCGUCCCAUCCAGCGGCCGCUCGCGAGCGGUUUUAAACGCUUCUUUCUCUUUCUUCCAUUCUUGCGAAUAAAUUGUCCGGCAGUAAUGAAAGCAUUUUCGAAAAGGCGAUACCCCCGGCCGCCGCGCGUUGCCCCACAAAACGUUAAACUGGAUUUUACGUAACGAAACUCGGCAUCGCGUUGGCACGUGUAAACACCAAAGGUGUAAUCUAGCGGUUUUUCUUUGAUUUUAUCCUCGCUUGAAACAGCAUUCUUACCAUUUUGGUAACGGGCAAGCAAAAUAUGGCGUAAAUGCAACUUCUGAUUUUCCAUAUUUGACGAAACAAAAUUGUUUACAAACAAGCUUCGAAGUGUCGGCUGUGAAUAUGUACAGGGUGUUCGGCCAACCCUGGGAAAAAUUGUAAU